UGGUCAGACCGACCGCUGUACGCUGGCAGACAUAAAACCUGUCUGAUUAGCUCUCUGAUGCCUUAUAGGAGGCAGAGCUGCAUGUGGCUGCGUCUURGUAUCAAAGACGUUAAUGAGUCAGARGGCUGAUCACAGGAGACGCGAUGAAUGAGCGGAUCAGUGAGAGUGCACGGARCUGAGGAACAUCACAGGGACAGACGAGAGGAGGAGGCCCAGAAAUGAGAGAGCGCUGGAUCCAUAGACUGUAUGAUGGGCCCAGAAUGCUAAAUUGAACAGUGAAMCGCAUUGAACAGUCGUCGAUGAGACGGGAGAUUAAAGCUUGUUGCCAGACUCUUCUGUAAAAAUCAAUUAAAACUUACUUAAGAUGUUGUC